UACGGAGGUGGCUAGCGUUACUCGGAAUUAUUGGGUGUAAAGGGCAAGUAGGCGGUCUAGUAAGUGAGGGGUGAAAUACUCCGGCUCAAUCGGAGAACUGCCUUUCAAACUACUAGACUUGAAGAUGUUAGGGGGAAAUGGAAUUCUAGGUGUAAGGGUGAAAUCUGUAGAUAUCUAGAAGAACACCAGCGGCGAAGGCGAUUUCCUGGGACAUUCUUGACGCUGAAUUGCGAAAGCUAGGGGAGCAAACAGA
rnacentral:rRNA from 1 species